CUCUCACCUGUCAUGGUGUGCACUGCUAAAGGGUAGCUGAAUACAGAAGCUGGAAGUUUCAAAGCAGCUGACAGAAGAUUUAGGGUCUACAAAUUAAGAAGAAAGGAAGUCUCUUCACCUUUUUACUAGCACAUGAUUUGACAAAUAUAUCUUGGUGCUGCUGAAUAGCUUGCUCUAUUCUGGCCCUUCUUACUUCAGCCAGCAUGAAGAACUGAAGCAAGUAGGAGUGGCAUUGAGAGGAACAACACAAAGAAGAAACCAGGGUUUGGUAACUGCUUAAACCAACACUAACAGAACUCUGGGCAGCUAAGCCUGAAUGUGCCUAAAUUCUGUGUUUACCUCUGAUGAACUUGAAAUGAAGAAAUUUUUCUGAAACCAAUAAUUUUUCAAGAUCUUCCCUGUUCUACAUCAAUUGUCCAGAGAUCUGGCUGUCAAAGCGAUACAGCAGGAGAAGCUUUUCCGCUUCUAUUCUCUCACUGCAUAGUUUUAAUUUAAUAACAGGUUAGUUUGUGAUUUCUGGUUUAGGAAGCCCCCUUGCUUUCUAAGCCAAGGAUUGAUAGAGCUGCAAGAACAGCCUUCUGCUACCAGAGUAAGCCUCUAUUAGCCAGUGCCAGAAACAGGAAAGGGGGUGGGUAAAUCUUUGAUGUUAUUUAAGGAUCACCUUUUAUGGGGAAAAAUUAAUAAAGUCUUUAUGAAAGUUCCAUUAAGAGUGGCCUCUCGGGGUUAAAUUAAUGUC